CCGGUGAAAGGCUUCUCCUCUGCAGAUGACGGUGCUGCACUACCGAAGCUCAUGCUUGCAAGGCCAGGAAAGUCGUGGAUCCCUGACAAUGAGGGCAGUGGUUCAUUGUUGCUGCGGAUCACCUUUCAAAAUAACAACCCUAAACUAGAAACACAAAGUAAAAUGGUCCUACCGAUGUGAGGCUGUUCUACAGAGGGAAUCUCAUGUCCAGAUGGAAUCUCAUGUGAGGAUCUGGUUCCUGGCAGAGGAUCAAUUUCAAGGCUCUAAUGGGCCACCUCAAAAGUUUCCCUGCCAUUCAGAAGGACAACCAGGGCCUGACCCUGUGGCUGCUGUAUCAGUGUGGAGCAUCUGCCUAAAAUGGACACUAGCAUCUCUAGAUAAAGGAGAGGCUGGAGUGCCACACUUUUACUGCACACCCAACCAUUAAAACAACAGCCAACCAACUGUUGAGGUGUGUACACAAUGAUACAGGAUUCUGCACAGAGACUCCAUUCACAAAAUAGGGCCUCUUUCGUAGCCACCCAAAGCAGGCCGAUGCCUUCAGCCCCUGUACCCCAAGACCAAAUUACAGGCAUUUUUUAGGACACAUAAGCUGGUCCUUGUUUCGGUUCCUUACCCCAUUGUGUCUCCUAUCAAGAAAACUUUUCCUGUCAUUCCCAGAAUUGAAACUUGUUCCACAAUUCAGGGAACACAUGUGAAAAUAGGAUCUGGACCUCUCUGUCCUCUCGUCUCUGGACACUCUGGGUGGACCAUCUCUGGAAGAUCCUGUCCCAGCUGCAGAAUGGCAUGAGCUGUCCAUAUCUACAGAAAGAAACACUGGAGGCAAUAGAAUAUCCUGUCAAAGGCCAUUCUGCCCUUGACAAUGAUGUGAAGAUUCCGCUGUCUCCACAUGAACACACCCAGCAUGCCCCAACAUUGUGCUAUUGUCACUAUGGGGGCAAGAAGGAGAAGAGGACUAUGCAAGUAGGAUGCUGGAUGUCAAGAUAAUAAUAAUGAUUGAGUCACCCUCUAGUGAUGACGAUGAAGCUCAGGCUCUACACUUCAGUGUGAGAGCUCAGUGUUGUUUCUGGAACCGUGUCCACACCAACACCCAGAAAUCCACAGGUUUUGGAUGGUGGAUGCUUCUGACCCAACGGGGAGAGUGGAGGCUUGAGCACUUAAGUCCCUGCAGAUUUCUCAACCUGCCUGAACUCUCUGCUAAUCCAGUGUUCCAGUACUCUCCUACGGUGAGGCGAGAGAAGACCAGAGAUGUUUGCAACUCUGAUCCAGUCUAACUGAACUUCCAGUGCUCAAACACAGAGAGUGGACAGAGAUUUUCGAGGCCUCUCCAUGAAUGCUGUCCAGAAUCAAGCUAUGGGGGAGUUCAGUGUGGGAGACGUGCAGGACCUUGGAUGGAGUCUGGGAUCUAGAGAAUGAAAUGUAUCUUCAUUAGGGCCAGAAGACACAUGAGGAGUGGCCUAGUAGAUACAGAAGACACAGUGUCAUGAUGUGGAGUCCAAGGCCAAGGGAGGUUACUGAGAAAUCCAAUGCCUGUAUGAGUGAAGCUGGACAUGAACAGUGUGGAUGGACGUGGUCCCUUUCACUUCAAGCUGCAGUGUUAUCACCAGCUGCUGCAGAAGCCCAUGUCCCAGUAGACUAUCCUCUGACAAGAAUAUUAUGCCUUUUAAGCUCAUAUGAUGAUUUCUCUGUCUCCAUAUAGGAGACCAGGCCAUAAAAGGUGCUACUGUCACUGAGGAGACCGUAAUGAGAGGACUGUGACAGUGGGAGGCGUCAUGCAAAAGUGAUGUGAGGCUCAGAUGCAUCUGGAAGCUUUAUGGUGCAACCCCUUCUUCCCUAUUCAGACCUUCAUUCUAUGCUGGAGUCUUCCUAGUGACAGUCCUGUCACCAAAUGACAACAACUUCUCCCUGAUCAAUCUUGAGACUAAAGAGGCUAGAGGAGGGCCUCUACAGAUCAGUCAGUGGGUGUCCCCUGACCACUGCCACUGCAUUUUCUAGGGAUUGUGUUCUAUGUGUGGGAUGUAUGAGAGAGCUGGUCUCCCAGCUCUUGGGAUGCAGCCUGUUCCUCAUUUCCUGGACUGUGCCUGCUCCAGUCUUCCUCUUGCAUCAUGGAAGCCAUUCUUCCAGUCACAGGCUUGACUUCAUUCUUACCCACAAGGGGGAAGGGUGAAGAUUGGCUCUGAGAUGUGACCCCAGCUUCUAGACUGUCUAUGUGAGGUGGUAUUAUCUGAUCUUUUCUCAGUUGCCAUUCUAUAGUCACAGUGAUGUGCAAGGCUCUAGCUAGGUGCUAGAUCCCAGGAUCAUUAAUAUCAUGGACAACCUGUGCCCAAGAAGCUAACACACUGACACAGUCCAGGACAUCCAGGAAUACGAAGGUGGUGAGAUGUCCCCAGCUAUGGUUCUGACCUUCAGAAAAGCAGUCAAAGGUCAUGAGGAUUUCUGACAGAAUCAACACAGGCUGAUGCCUGUAAACCAAAGUCCUUUCCUGUUUGGAGCUGCUGAGUGUAGUCUGAACUGUGAGUCUGGACCUGCUCUCUCAGUGAAGGCACAACUUCUUGAACUCUGACUCUGAACUGUAGUUGUGGCUAAUGCUGCUUAUGAUCCAAAAAUCUAAUUCAGCAGUGAAAAUAUAAGCUUCCAACCUCUAACCUGGAACAUUCUGUCUCAAAAAGGACAGUGUGUACACUUGAAUGGAAAGACCAGAUCCUGGUGCUUUCCCACAAGAAGUUGCUGAAUGUGGCUACCUGGAAGGACAACCAAAGAGGGCUGCCAGAGAGGAGGCCACUACCAAUUAGUCAAGCAACCUCAUCUGCAUCAUCACAAGCAUCUGUAGUAUGGAGGUCUGGUAAACACGGUGUGGGCCUCUUCCUUCCCUGGAUGCCACCAUCAAGUGAGAUAUAGGUCGUUCACAUCACUGUGUGGACCUAGAAUUCCUCUGCAGGUCCUUUUACAGGAGUGGAGUCCUUCCCUCCAAGAGAGGUUAGCAACUGGUCAGACAUUCAGGCCAUUUUCUUUCUGCUAGCCUGUGCUUCUUUGAGUAGGUCCAAUUCAGUGCUACUAGGUCAUGCCUGUUCCAGUAUCCUGAACUCAGUGAGGAGGUUGGAUCAAGUGUCAAAGGAAUGAAGGUCAAGCUCUGGAUUUUAUCAGAGAGUCUGAGCAAGACCACUGAUGUUCUGGGAAAAACUUGACUUUUCAGUGGGAUCUUCAUCUGCUGUACAUAACCAACAACCUCUGCUGUGAUGAAAACCAGAGGAUGAUAAAAGGUGCUGCAGUUGGCAUGACUGCUGACAAGAGACACUCAGAGGUUCACUUCAAAUUCAAUAUUCAGAUUGUCUUCAUGGUCUUUCCUUAGUCUCCCCUUAGAGACAGAACUGAAAUUCACCCUGGACCACAUCUUUUACAUGCAGCCCCUUUGUAGGGAGGAGAACAAAGACCUGGAGAUGUCAUGCUGUUCACCUGUACAAACAGUGCAGAGGAGCAGGCAACCAACACCAGACCUUCUGGGUGCUAGGACCCUGUCACUAUCCAAGGGCUAUCUAGGAUGACUCUGUACAGGCGGUAUGGCAGAAGUUAAUUCUUUCCAAAAGAGCCUGACUGACAUAGUAAAGAGGGCUCCCACAACCUCCCUCUCGCAGUCUCCAUCAACUCUUGCAUGUCUCCUUGGCAACCACUUCAGAGAGUUUGUGAUUCUCCUGACAGGAGAGCUCCAGCAAAAUCUCGGACUUCAGUCUCAUGAUACUGAAGAGACUGUUCUAGCUGAUGAGGCCGGGCUUAGAAGAUGGACUACAGCCAAGAACCCUGGCCACCAUAACGACAAGUCACACCUUUAGGGAACACUUGAAAAGCACUUAUGCACAGUAGAAAAGUACAAGGAUUAAAGUCUCCUCAGGCAUUCCAGCAUAGAGAGAGUCUGACAGACUCAGGUCAGAGGUUACCUCCAAAUAAUAGAAGAGGAAGAAGGUCCUGCUUGACAGAAGAAGCCUGUGGCUGAGGCCAUUGCAACAAGGACUAUGACUGUGAAACUUGUUUCUCCGUGGAUACCGGUUUCAGAAAUCUUGUGCCCAGGUACCCACAGUCCUCCUCACAUACCUCAUUUUAUAGAACUUUGCAAGUCCUGACAUUCUGUCAUGUGCUUUGUUAUCCCACAUAGGGUAACAAAGAUUUUUACCCAUUUAAGAGUCUGGAAAUAGGCUGGACCCACUGUUGACAUUAAAGGUGCAUUUCUCUACU
rnacentral:lncRNA from 1 species